rnacentral:misc_RNA from 1 species
GAUGAAGAACGCAGCGAAAUGCGAUAAGUAGUGUGAAUUGCAGAAUUCCGUGAAUCAUCGAAUCUUUGAACGCACAUUGCGCCCGCCAGCAUUCUGGCGGGCAUGCCUGUUCGAGCGUCAUUUCAACCCUCGAGCCCCCCCGGGGGCCUCGGUGUUGGGGGACGGCACACCAGCCGCCCCCGAAAUGCAGUGGCGACCCCGCCGCAGCCUCCCCUGCGUAGUAGCACACACCUCGCACCGGAGCGCGGAGGCGGUCACGCCGUAAAACGCCCAACUUUCUUAGAGUUGACCUCGGAUCAGGUAGGAAUACCCGCUGAACUUAAGCAUAUCAUAAGCGGAGGA